rnacentral:sRNA from 1 species
GCACCAUCCAAACUGAAUCGGCGACCAUCAGCGUGGUCGAUGAUCAUUGUC